GGGGAUAUAGCUCAGUGGUGCAGUGCCUGCCUGGCAAGCAUAAUGUCCUGAGUUUAUUUCCCAGUACCCACA
rnacentral:tRNA from 1 species